UACGUAGGGUGCAGGCGUUACUCGGAAUUACUGGGCGUAAAGCGUGCGCAGGCGGCUCUUUAAGUCAGAUGUGAAAUCCCCGGGCUUAACCUGGGAACUGCGUUUGAAACUGAGGAGCUAGAGUGUGGAAGAGGGGGGUGGAAUUCCAGGUGUAGCAGUGAAAUGCGUAGAGAUCUGGAGGAACACCGAUGGCGAAGGCAGCCCCCUGGGCUGACACUGACGCUCAUGCACGAAAGCGUGGGGAGCAAACAGG
rnacentral:rRNA from 1 species